rnacentral:rRNA from 1 species
UACGGGGGGAGCAAGCGUUGUUCGGAUUUACUGGGCGUAAAGGGCGCGUAGGCGGUCAGCACAAGUCAGUUGUGAAAUCUCCGGGCUUAACUCGGAAAGGUCAACUGAUACUGUGCGACUAUAGUGCGGAAGGGGCAACUGGAAUUCUCGGUGUAGCGGUGAAAUGCGUAGAUAUCGAGAGGAACACCUGCGGCGAAGGCGGGUUGCUGGGCCGAUACUGACGCUGAGGAGCGAAAGCGUGGGGAGCGAACAGG